CAACCACAAGCUGACAGUGUGGGCCCCGCAGUCCUCUAGGCACAGAUAACAGUGGCUUGUAACUAUGAUAUGUUAAUGGACAUUUACAUACCAAAACUGAAGGAUUAGGAACUUUGUGUAGGAGCAAUCGAAGCAUUGAAAGCUCAGAUUGUGAUUUCCAGCUCAUGGAUGGAGCCCCGAAU